GAUGAACGCUGGCGGCGUGCCUAAUACAUGCAAGUCGAGCGAACAGACGAGGAGCUUGCUCCUCUGACGUUAGCGGCGGACGGGUGAGUAACACGUGUAUAACCUACCUAUAAGACUGGGAUAACUUCGGGAAACCGGAGCUAAUACCGGAUAAUAUAUUGAACCGCAUGGUUCAAUAGUGAAAGACGGUUUUGCUGUCACUUAUAGAUGGAUCCGCGCCGCAUUAGCUAGUUGGGAAGGUAACGGCUUACCAAGGCAACGAUGCGUAGCCGACCUGAGAGGGUGAUCGGCCACACUGGAGCUGAGCCGCGGUCCAGACUCCUACGGGAGGCAGCAGUAGGGAAUCUUCCGCAAUAGGCGAAAGCCUGACGGAGCAACGCCGCGUGAGUGAUGAAGGUCUUCGGAUCGUAAAACUCUGUUAUUAGGGAAGAACAAAUGUGUAAGUAAAUAUGCACGUCUUGACGGUACCUAAUCAGAAAGCCACGGCUAACUACGUG
rnacentral:rRNA from 1 species